rnacentral:rRNA from 1 species
AUCAUUACCGAGUGAGGGCCCUCUGGGUCCAACCUCCCACCCGUGUUUAUUUUACCUUGUUGCUUCGGCGGGCCCGCCUUAACUGGCCGCCGGGGGGCUUACGCCCCCGGGCCCGCGCCCGCCGAAGACACCCUCGAACUCUGUCUGAAGAUUGAAGUCUGAGUGAAAAUAUAAAUUAUUUAAAACUUUCAACAACGGAUCUCUUGGUUCCGGCAUCGAUGAAGAACGCAGCGAAAUGCGAUACGUAAUGUGAAUUGCAAAUUCAGUGAAUCAUCGAGUCUUUGAACGCACAUUGCGCCCCCUGGUAUUCCGGGGGGCAUGCCUGUCCGAGCGUCAUUGCUGCCCUCAAGCCCGGCUUGUGUGUUGGGCCCCGUCCCCCGAUCUCCGGGGGACGGGCCCGAAAGGCAGCGGCGGCACCGCGUCCGGUCCUCGAGCGUAUGGGGCUUUGUCACCCGCUCUGUAGGCCCGGCCGGCGCUUGCCGAUCAACCCAAAUUUUUAUCCAGGUGANCCUCGAUCAGUA